UAUCUCUGUAGAGUCUGCAUAUCAAUAAGCGGAGGAAAAGAAACUAACUAGGAUUCCCUCAGUAACGGCGAGUGAAGCGGGAAGAGCUCAAAUUUGAAAUCUUCAAGGUUUUACCUUGACGAAUUGUAGUUUAAAGAAGUGAUUUCUGUUGGGGUUUUGGUAAAAGUUCUUUGGAAUAGGACAUCAUAGAGGGUGAGAAUCCCGUAUUUGACCAUUACUUCCAGCUUUGUGAUACACUUUCAAAGAGUCGGAUUGUUUGGGAAUGCAGUCCAAAAUGGGUGGUAAAUUUCAUCUAAAGCUAAAUACUGGCGGAGAGACCGAUAGCGAACAAGUACCGUGAGGGAAAGAUGAAAAGAACUUUGAAAAGAGAGUUAAACAGUACGUGAAAUUGUCAAAAGGGAAGCGUUUGACACCAGUGUUGUUUUCUCGAAAAUCAAUUAAAAAAGGCAGGAUUUUGUGUUGUAUUGACUUUAUCAGCUUUCUGCACUCUUUUCUUGUCUUUUUUUAAUGCACUUUUCGUUUAACAAGUCAACAUCAAUUUCUUUUGUUGUAAGAGGGUCAUUGGAAGGUGGCUUUCUUUUCGGAGAAAGUGUUUAUAGCCUUUGGCCUCUGCAAUCGGAGAGAUUGAGGUCUGCAGCGUAGAUCCUUCGGGGUUAGAUACAUUUGUGCUAAGUUAUAGCCUUUCAUAGACAACUUGUUGACUAUGAUCAGUCAUGUAGCUUACUCGCUUAUGCUAUUUUACCUACGCUUAGGAUGUUGAUAGUCACAGCGUGUAC
rnacentral:rRNA from 1 species